rnacentral:rRNA from 1 species
AGAGUUUGAUCCUGGCUCAGGACGAACGCUGGCGGCACGCUUAACACAUGCAAGUCGAACGAGAGAAGAGGAGCUUGCUUUUCUGAUCUAGUGGCGGACGGGUGAGUAACACGUGAGCAAUCUGCCUUUCAGAGGGGGAUACCGAUUGGAAACGAUCGUUAAUACCGCAUAACAUAAUUGAACCGCAUGAUUUGAUUACCAAAGAUUUAUCGCUGAAAGAUGAGCUCGCGUCUGAUUAGCUAGUUGGUAAGGUAACGGCUUACCAAGGCGACGAUCAGUAGCCGGACUGUGAGGUUGAUCGGCCACAUUGGGACUGAGACACGGCCCAGACUCCUACGGGAGGCAGCAGUGGGGAAUAUUGCACAAUGGAGGAACCUCUGAUGCAGCGAUGCCGCGUGAGGGAAGAAGGUUUUAGGAUUGUAAACCUCUGUCUUCAGGGACGAAAAAAGACGGUACCUGAGGAGGAAGCUCCGGCUAACUACGUGCCAGCAGCCGCGGUAAUACGUAGGGAGCGAGCGUUGACCGGAAUUACUGGGUGUAAAGGGAGCGUAGGCGGGAUCGCAAGUCAGAUGUGAAAACUAUGGGCUUAACCCAUAAACUGCAUUUGAAACUGUGGUUCUUGAGCGAAGUAGAGGUAAGCGGAAUUCCUAGUGUAGCGGUGAAAUGCGUAGAUAUUAGGAGGAACAUCAGUGGCGAAGGCGGCUUACUGGGCUUUAACUGACGCUGAGGCUCGAAAGCGUGGGGAGCAAACAGGAUUAGAUACCCUGGUAGUCCACGCCGUAAACGAUGAUUACUAGGUGUGGGGGGACUGACCCCUUCCGUGCCGCAGCAAACGCAAUAAGUAAUCCACCUGGGGAGUACGACCGCAAGGUUGAAACUCAAAGGAAUUGACGGGGGCCCGCACAAGCAGUGGAGUAUGUGGAUUAAUUCGAAGCAACGCGAAGAACCUUACCAGGUCUUGACAUCGUAUGCAUAGCUCAGAGAUGAGUGAAAUCUCUUCGGAGACAUAUAGACAGGUGGUGCAUGGUUGUCGUCAGCUCGUGUCGUGAGAUGUUGGGUUAAGUCCCGCAACGAGCGCAACCCUUACUGUUAGUUGCUACGCAAGAGCACUCUAGCAGGACUGCCGUUGACAAAACGGAGGAAGGUGGGGAUGACGUCAAAUCAUCAUGCCCCUUAUGACCUGGGCCUCACACGUACUACAAUGGCUGUCAACAGAGGGAAGCAAAGCCGCGAGGUGGAGCGAACCCCUAAAAGCAGUCUUAGUUCGGAUUGUAGGCUGCAACCCGCCUACAUGAAGUCGGAAUUGCUAGUAAUCGCAGAUCAGCAUGCUGCGGUGAAUACGUUCCCGGGCCUUGUACACACCGCCCGUCACGCCAUGGGAGUCGGUAACACCCGAAGCCUGUAGUCUAACCGCAAGGAGGACGCAGUCGAAGGUGGGAUUGAUGACUGGGGUGAAGUCGUAACAAGGUA